rnacentral:rRNA from 1 species
AGCAGCCGCGGUAAUUCCAGCUCCAAUAGCGUAUAUUAAAGUUGUUGCAGUUAAAAAGCUCGUAGUUGAAUUUCGGGAUCAGUACGCCGGUCGUGCCUUCGGUAUGUACUGGUGUCACUGAUUCCUCCCUUCUGAAGAACCGUUAUGCCAUUCAUUUGGUGUGACGGGGAAUCAGGACUGUUACUUUGAAAAAAUUAGAGUGUUUAAAGCAGGCUCGCGCUUGAAUACAUUAGCAUGGAAUAAUGAAAUAGGACGUUUGAUCUUAUUUUGUUGGUUUCUAGGAUCGACGUAAUGAUUAAUAGGGAUAGUUGGGGGCAUUAGUAUUCAAUUGUCAGAGGUGAAAUUCUUGGAUUUAUUGAAGACUAACUACUGCGAAAGCAUUUGCCAAGGAUGUUUUCAUUAAUCAAGAACGAAAGUUAGGGGAUCGAAGACGAUCAGAUACCGUCGUAGUCUUAACCAUAAACUAUGCCGACUAGGGAUCGGAUGAUGUUAAUUUUUUAAUGUA